UUUAUUUUUAUUUUUUUAUUAUUAUUCCUCCCGACGUAGUUCGGGUUGCUAAAAUAUUGAUUGUCCGAUUCGGAUAGCUGCUCCGCUCCGCUUCUGAGGACCAGGCGGCGGUGGCGGCGGCGGCGGCAAGAGUGAGUGUAGGACGCUUUUUUUUUUAAGCAACCUUCUCCUAUACACAAACACUCACACAAUAGUACGUCGCAGGCGCAUACAGGGUUCGUCUGGGACGUACAUUUGGCAACGCCGCCGGGUUGUUCGGCGGCGUCGCUCCCUCUAGCGCGCGCCGUACGAUCGUCUCGUCGCCGUCGUCGUCUCGCGCGCCGGUGGUAUUUCAUUUGGUUUUUUUACAUUUCAUUUUUCUGUCCCGUCUUUGCCGCCCGCCACCGCCUCCGCGCGCACCGCACAUUCCGGUUCUCUAUGGCGGAGGAGAGCGCGCGCGCGCGCGCUUACCGGGUUUUUUUCCGUCGCCCCUUACCACCACGCCCCACCCCCUCUUCACCUCCGACGUUUAUUACGUACGCCGUCGGCCAGUCGCACACGCACCGUCGUCUCCCCCGAAUGUACUGUAGCCACCGCCACCGCAGCCGCCGCGCCGCCGUCGUCGUCGCAGCCGGUGUUUACUGUACGGUGCCGUUCACGAGCGUGUGUUGUAUUAUCGGCAGCCGCCGCCGCGGAGCUUUUCGAGUCUCUGACGACGCGCCGCUGGAUAAUCGCGAUCAUUCUUAAUUUAAUUUUAUAUUUAAAUUUUUCAUCUCUCCUGCACAGUUCGCGUGUCCUAUCGUCUUAUCAGUAAUUGUAAAAAACAAAAUAAUUAAAAUAAUAACAACAAGGUUUAUACGUGAAAACAAAUAUUUGUAUUUUGUGUAUAUCUUCGGUUCACCGUAGAGUACUCGUCCCGGUCAUGAGGACCGCCGACAUCCACGGGAUUACCGGACACAUUUCUACACGGAAGUGAUGACGGGGAUAUUAUGGCAAUCAAUUUCUCAGCAUCAUUUGCAGCAUGUCUGGCAGCAGGCCUCAAAGUUCCUCGGAAUUUUAUGUACUGCAUUGCCCAAGGUAAAUUAAAUAAUUUUCACUUAAAUUGGAUUUUAGUUAACUAAUUUUUUUUUCAAAUUUCGGGUAAGUACUUACCUACCACUGCUACCAGCUACCGCGCGUAAGUUUUUACGUUAAUUUUUUUAAUCAAAAGUCAUUAGGUACUUUGUAUAAUUGAGAAGGUAGUAAGGUACUCACUAUAUUUGUAAUUAGUACUUAACAUUAUUAGCAUACCGUAACAUUAUUAAUGCUAUUAUAUUAGUAAUUUUUUCUAUACUUGAACCAAUUAAAAUUUGAAGCAGAAAUAAUAAAUAAAUAUGCGAUUUUGUUUUUAAUCUAAUAGCUGGCAAGUUACCCUAAAAUAACAAUAAAGUUUUAAACAGUUUAAUCUAUUAUCUAAACCAUCCUUGAAUCGUCAAAAUCUGUUUGGUAUUUUUUGAUUCUAUUAGUCUCAGCAUUCGCUAGUCAGCAAUAUACUUUGUUUUGUAUAUUAUAAUUAUAUAAUCACUGGUGUUACCCGUUGCUUCUAUUUGAAUACUUUUACGACCCAUCGGCCAUCCGGGAAUUCCAAAUAUAAUAUGUGUCAGCAUUUUGUGCCAAUUGAUCAAAAACUUUGAAUUUGUAUUUUGCAUAACAUUAUGCAUCCUCAAGGCCUUUAUGGCUUUAUAUAUAAGUAUAUAUAGCCCGAGUACCCGACCACUGGCGUAGCCAGGAUUAUGAAAUGUGAGAGGAGGGAGUUAAGUAUUAAUUAAAUAAAGUUUUGUACAGUUUUCGUAUAAAUAAUAUAAUAAAUACCCCUCCCCCCUGGAUACGCAACUGAACCCGACUACAUAAUAAAUAUUUGAGCUGAAUAUAUAGGUAUUACUAUUUAGUAUUUUAUCUAUUAUCUAAACAAAAUAAUAUUUGAUUCUAAUUUUUAAGUAAAAAUUAAAUUUAUUCGUGAAGCCGUGAGCCACGUAAGUAUAGCAAUAUGUAGGGGUUGAAAAAAUAAACUAUGGCGUACCUACUUAAAUGUAUGAUAAAAAUUAAAAAUUGUGAAAAUUAUAUGAUUAAUAAAUACCUAAUUUAAGAAAUAUAAUCAUGUCAGGAAAUUCCCAAAAAUUAAAUUUUGAAACAAGGUUAUAACAAAUAAGGUAUUAAUCUACUCAAAAAUAUAUUGAUAUUUUAAAAAAUUCUAAAAAAUAUACUAUUUGACUUAGUUUAUUGACUAUUUGAAAUUUCGUCCAAAAAAAUAAAAAUAUUUUUUUUUAUAUUGUAAGUGUAACGCAAGUGAAAAAUUUAAAAAUAUUGAUUAAAACAAGUUAUUUUAUCUGCCAGGUUUUCCUGUUGCAUCCUGUUACGCGCAAGUGGUAAAACUGAUUUUUGUGAUGACCCAUAUAGGGGAAGAAUAAGGCCAUAGGGGUUAUCCAUAGAUAUAUACUUCUAUACUUCGAUAUUAUAGUAUUAUAGUAUAUAUCUGUGGAGUUAUCUGAACCACUAUAAAUAUAUAAAAUCAAAUUAUA
rnacentral:misc_RNA from 1 species